rnacentral:rRNA from 1 species
CCUACGGGAGGCAGCAGUGGGGGAUAUUGGACAAUGGGGGGAACCCUGAUCGAGCGACGCCGCGUGAGUGAAGAAGUAUUUCGGUAUGUAAAGCUCUGUCAGAAGGGAAGAAAGAAAUGACGGUACCUGACCAAGAAGCCCCGGCUAACUACGUGCCAGCAGCCGCGGUAAUACGUAGGGGGCAAGCGUUAUCCGGAAUUACUGGGUGUAAAGGGAGCGUAGACGGGUAAGUAAGUCUGGAGUGAAAGGCCGGGGGCCAACCCCGGGACUGCUCUGGAAACUAUUGAACUUGAGUGCAGGAGAGGUAAGCGGAAUUCCUAGUGGAGCGGUGAAAUGCGUAGAUAUUAGGAGGAACACCAGUGGCGAAGGCGGCUUACUGGACUGUAACUGACGUUGAGGCUCGAAAGCGUGGGGAGCAAACAGGAUUAGAUACCCGAGUAGUC